rnacentral:rRNA from 1 species
GAUGAACGCUGGCGGCGUGCUUAACACAUGCCAGUCGAACGGAAAGGCUCCUGCUUGCAGGGGUACUCGAGUGGCGAACGGGUGAGUAACACGUGGGUGAUCUGCCCUGCACUUCGGGAUAAGCCUGGGAAACUGGGUCUAAUACCGGAUAGGACGAUGGUUUGGAUGCCAUUGUGGAAAGUUUUUUCGGUGUGGGAUGAGCUCGCGGCCUAUCAGCUUGUUGGUGGGGUAAUGGCCUACCAAGGCGUCGACGGGUAGCCGGCCUGAGAGGGUGUACGGCUACAUUGGGACUGAGAUACGGCCCAGACUCCUACGGGAGGCAGCAGUGGGGAAUAUUGCACAAUGGGCGCAAGCCUGAUGCAGCGACGCCGCGUGGGGGAUGACGGCCUUCGGGUUGUAAACUCCUUUCGCUAGGGACGAAGCGCAAGUGACGGUACCUGGAGAAGAAGCACCGGCUAACUACGU